rnacentral:rRNA from 1 species
GCGUGAGUGAUGAAGGCCCUAGGGUUGUAAAGCUCUUUCGAUGGGGAAGAUAAUGACGGUACCCAUAGAAGAAGCCCCGGCUAACUUCGUGCCAGCAGCCGCGGUAAUACGAAGGGGGCUAGCGUUGCUCGGAAUCACUGGGCGUAAAGCGCACGUAGGCGGACUUUUAAGUCAGGGGUGAAAUCCUGAGGCUCAACCUCAGAACUGCCUUUGAUACUGAGAGUCUCGAGUCCGAGAGAGGUGAGUGGAACUCCGAGUGUAGAGGUGAAAUUCGU